rnacentral:lncRNA from 1 species
GAAAUUCUAAGGCAGAGUUAGAAGAAAAGAGAAGUAUGAAGAUAUGGUUUCCACACCAAUGUUAGGCCUUCUCAAGGAGCUUAGAGUGUGUCGGUGGAGAGGGAGAAGCCCAACGGGAGAUCUUAUUCCACCUCUGCACGUCUUCAGGACCCCUGUGGAAACAUGUGAUCUCUAACAGUCUCUCUGGGGCUCUGCCCACCCCCAGCAGUGUCACCUCACAUCACCGCACAAUAAGAACUUUCUCAUCAUGAACAUAGCUUUCUCUGGAGAAGCUGGGAAGUGCUUAACUAUGCCAGAAGCUGGACAAUUCAGGUAGAAGUGUAAAUGUUGGCCUAACCUUCAAAGGACAGAAAUAGCUUUCUUUGAAAGUUCUCAAAGGUGUUUCAGAACUCUGGAAAAUUUUAAAUCUUAAAAUAACACUACAAUUGUCCAUUUGUCUUGGGGAUGCCUGUGCGGAGUGAGAGUGAAUCCCUAAAUUUGACUUUCCGUCUCUCCUCCACUGCAGGAUGUGGUUGGGCUUUUUCGUCCUUGGGCUGCCAAAACUGAAAAGCACCUUGCUCC